rnacentral:rRNA from 1 species
GACGAACGCUGGCGGCGUGCUUAACACAUGCAAGUCGAACGGAAAGGCCCUGCUUGCAGGGUACUCGAGUGGCGAACGGGUGAGUAACACGUGGGUGAUCUGCCCUGCACUUCGGGAUAAGCCUGGGAAACUGGGUCUAAUACCGGAUAGGAGCCAUUUUUAGUGUGAUGGUUGGAAAGUUUUUUCGGUGUAGGAUGAGCUCGCGGCCUAUCAGCUUGUUGGUGGGUAAUGGCCUACCAAGGCGGCGACGGGUAGCCGGCCUGAGAGGGUGGACGGCCACAUUGGGACUGGGAUACGGCCCAGAAUCCUACGGGAGGCAGCAGUGGGGAAUAUUGCACAAAGGGCGCAAGCCUGAUGCAGCGAAGCCGCGUGGAGGAUGACGGCCUUCGGGUUGUAAACUCCUUUCGCUAGGGACGAAGCUUUUUGUGACGGUACCUAGAUAAGAAGCACCGGCUAACUACGUG